GCGCUGUUAGCUCAGCUGGAUAGAGUACCUGGCUACGAACCAGAUGGUCGGGGGUUCGAAUCCCUCACAGCGCG
rnacentral:tRNA from 1 species